rnacentral:lncRNA from 10 species
GCCAGGUCAUGAGGUUACCCAAGCAGCCCUGUGGAGGCACUCUUAUGGUGCUGUUACUGUUGGCCCAAGAACACAUUUUGAGAAGACUGGCCUAGAGGAACCAAUAAUGUGGGUUUCUUAUGGGCAGGAUGGCACUGGAGAAGAGGGUGAGGCUCAGUGUCUUCUCCCAAAUUUUCAUAUCAAAUAAAACCUCUUUCCCCGGAGAGAAGUAACAAGAGAGGCAGAGGGAAAUGAUUCUAACAGAAGUUCUAGCCACAUGGAAGGAAGCAUUAGCAGUGAGGAAUAACUGUUCUCUCCCUAAACAUACCACCCAAGGGAAACUAACACUAAAUUAGCAUGAAGAGCAUACGCCUGUGAUCUCAGCUAUUCGGGAUGCAGAGGCAGGAGGAUCACAUGAGCUCAGAAGCUCAAGCCCAGCCUGGGCAACGUAGAAAGACACAGACUAAAAAAGAAAAAAAGGGAAGAAAAAAAAAGACGGAAAAAAAUUAGCAUGAACAAUUCAAGGGAGACAAGAGAACUGAGCCACCUUCCUAGCCAAGAAAAACCCCAGCUUGCAAUUUACUGAAUAGAAGUGUGCCACUUGACAGAGUAGUUUUAAUGACACUGAACCUUUUGUGAGUCUUGCACUUCUCUUGGCUGAAAUCUUCAAACUGGCUCAAAGAAGCUCCAGUCUCUUCAUUCUGUAAGUGUUGAUACCAUUUGCAUAACUACCUGUCCUUAUCCCCUACCAGGUGCCUCCUUUCCAACCUUGAACGUUUCUUCUUGAUUCAUUAUAAUUAAAGAGCUAAUGUAGCCAUUCAAGUUCACAUUGUCAAUGACCAUGUAAUCAUCUUCCCUAGUGGCCAGAAUUCCUUUCUUUUUAUGAGGUUACAAUUAAAUUCCCUCCAGCCAUAAGGUCAAAAGAAUCCGGAACAGUUAGCCUUCCCAGUGACUAAUUUCACACCUGUGACUCUGACACAUAUAAAAUAAGACAUCUGAAAUGGAAGGUGUCAAUUUAAGAAAUAAUAUACAUUUGAC